UGGGGAAUUUUGGACAAUGGGGGAAACCCUGAUCCAGCCAUCCCGCGUGUGCGAUGAAGGCCUUCGGGUUGUAAAGCACUUUUGGCAGGAAAGAAACGUCAUGGGUUAAUACCCCGUGAAACUGACGGUACCUGCAGAAUAAGCACCGGCUAACUACGUGCCAGCAGCCGCGGUAAUACGUAGGGUGCAAGCGUUAAUCGGAAUUACUGGGCGUAAAGCGUGCGCAGGCGGUUCGGAAAGAAAGAUGUGAAAUCCCAGAGCUCAACUUUGGAACUGCAUUUUUAACUACCGGGCUAGAGUGUGUCAGAGGGAGGUGGAAUUCCGCGUGUAGCAGUGAAAUGCGUAGAUAUGCGGAGGAACACCGAUGGCGAAGGCAGCCUCCGGGGAUAACACUGACGCUCAUGCACGAAAGCGUGGGGAGCAAACAGG
rnacentral:rRNA from 1 species